AAUGAACGCUGGCGGCAGGCCUAAAACAUGCAAGUCGAGCGCACUAGCAAUAGGGAGCGGCGCACGGGUGAGUAACACGUGGGAAUAUGCCUUCUGGUACGGAACAACUCUUGGAAACGAAAGCUAAUACCGUAUGGUCCCUUCGGGGUAAAGAUUUAUCGCCAAAAGAUUAGCUCGCGUUGGAUUAGCUAGUUGGUAGGGUAAUGGCCUACCAAGGCGACGAUCCAUAGCUGGUCUGAGAGGACGAUCAGCCACACUGGGACUGAGACACGGCCCAGACUCCUACGGGAGGCAGCAGUUAGGAAUAUUGGACAAUGGGCGCAAGCCUGAUCCAGCCAUGCCGCGUGAGUGAUGAAGGCCUUCGGGUUGUAAAGCUCUUUAGCCGAUGAAUAUAAUGACUGUAGUCGGAGAAUAAGCCCCGGCUAACUUCGUGCCAGCCGCCGCGGUAAGAC
rnacentral:rRNA from 1 species